CCCUUAGAUGUUCUGGGCCGCACGCGCGCUACACUGACGAUGGCAACGAGUUUUUCCUUCGCCGAAAGGUGUGGGUAAUCUUUUGAAACAUCGUCGUGCUGGGGAUAGAUCAUUGCAAUUUUUGAUCUUGAACGAGGAAUUCCUAGUAAGCGCGAGUCAUCAGCUCGCGUUGAUUACGUCCCUGCCCUUUGUACACACCGCCCGUCGCUACUACCGAUUGAACGGUUUAGUGAGGACUCCUGAUUGGCGCCGCCGCCCCGGCAACGGAGCAGCGGACUGCCGAAAAGUUGUUCAAACUUGAUCAUUUAGAGGAAGUAAAAGUCGUAACA
rnacentral:rRNA from 1 species